rnacentral:rRNA from 1 species
AGUGAACGCUGGCGGUAGGCCUAACACAUGCAAGUCGAACGGCAGCACAGUAAGAGCUUGCUCUUACGGGUGGCGAGUGGCGGACGGGUGAGGAAUACAUCGGAAUCUACUUUUUCGUGGGGGAUAACGUAGGGAAACUUACGCUAAUACCGCAUACGACCUACGGGUGAAAGCAGGGGAUCUUCGGACCUUGCGCGAUUGAAUGAGCCGAUGUCGGAUUAGCUAGUUGGCGGGGUAAAGGCCCACCAAGGCGACGAUCCGUAGCUGGUCUGAGAGGAUGAUCAGCCACACUGUAACUGAGACACGGUCCAGACUCCUACGGGAGGCAGCAGUGGGGAAUAUUGGACAAUGGGCGCAAGCCUGAUCCAGCCAUACCGCGUGGGUGAAGAAGGCCUUCGGGUUGUAAAGCCCUUUUGUUGGGAAAGAAAAGCAGCAGGUUAAUACCCCGCUGUUCUGACGGUACCCAAAGAAUAAGCACCGGCCAACUUCGUG